rnacentral:tRNA from 1 species
GGGCGCAUAGCUCAAUGGUAGAGCAGUUGCCUCUUAAGCAAUUGGUUGGGGGUUCGAGUCCCUCUGCGCCCA